CUGACUCUGAAGCGAGCCAGAGAUCCACCUCAUCCUUCCAACAGAUUCACAGAAGAACACAACACUUCACUUCAACAAAGCUUCCUCAAAGUGCUCCAAUGGAAUGCAAGCUGGGAAGAUGAAAGCAAGUGGACAGGUGACGAAGUGAAGGCUACUGAGCGGCAUUUGUAUCCUUAACAAGCUGCAGAGUACCAGGUAAAAAGGACUGUGACUCCUGUCUCAAGGCAGAGCCAGUAGCUCUGAAAGACAGGGACUGGGUUGCCAU